GUCAAAAACACCAAAGGACUAAUCCACGCACUGUGUAACUUUCAUUCCCCCUGCUUGAGUCUCUGCUGAAGACCGGUUUUAACUGUUAGAGGCCUGAAACCCAAUCCUGUUAUAAAUCAAGAAGCCAAAUUCCCUUUGGGCUUACAUCAGAGCAAACAAAUCAGUGCCUCCUCUAAUACUAAAGAUUAGGUCACAGGCCAGAGGAAACCUAACCUGCUUUGUGGGUUUAGAGCUGCAAGAGCUGUACAAAAAGAAAGAAAGAAAGAAAGAAAGAGGAGAGAGAGAGAGAGAGAGGGAGAAAGAAAGAAAGAAAGAAAGAGAGAGAGAGAGAGAAAGAAAGAAAGAAAGAAAGAAAGAAAGAAAGAAAGAAAGAAAGAAAGAAAGAAAGAAAAAAAGCUCUUGGCCUAACCCUUAACCAAAUGUGAAGUGCGUGUCAUAGGUGGAUGGAAUGUCAUUCUGCUCCUUGAAAUCAUCAUUUUUAGCAACAGAUUCAUAUCACAGUCACUUUUCCAUGAUGGCAUCUCCACAUUAUUUUGACCCUUAAUAACCAUCCCAGGCACCAAAAGCAAUCAUCAGGUUCUAUCACAAGCACUUUUCUGAUACCUUAAAAAUUUUCAGAGUCUGGGGCUGGUAAUUUCUCUUUAUGUCCCUGUAAACCCCAAAUCAAUCUCGACUUCCCUGCCCUUUCAUCCAACUGAUGCUGAGAACUUUCUCCCCAAAGAAAGAAAAGCCAGGCAUUCAGAGUCAGAUGUGGUGUGGACUGUUUCUGGUUAGAUGACUCAGCCCAUUUUUGUGGAUUUCCCAAGAUGCUUUCUGAAAUUCUGUUGAAAAAUAUCUUGUGUGAUCUGGUAACAAAUUAAACAAAAGACAAACCACCAAAUGCUUGCCUGUUUGAAAAGGCCAACCACAAAAUACUCCGAUUCACGGUGACCUAUCGUGGGGGAGAAGCAGCUCUGGAUCAUCAGAUAAAUUCUAACUUCCACAAACCCCGGCUCCCUGGACUCCUUUCUGAGGCUUCAUGAAAGAUAGAGGGGGGUUUCACAUAACUGCAUUUCAAAUAACUCUAAGGCUCAUGACACCAAGAUACUUUUUAAGGUUUUAGAAAACUUGCCCUCCUCUGCUGACCAUGCCAAGAUGCACUGGUGGCUUUGGUUUGCCUUAUUUUGCCAUCUUCAGUUUUAAAAGUAUUGAGAGACAGAGGAUGCUUGUUUGUUUUCAUUUUGUUUUAAUUCCAGAAGCUAAGUAAUCACUUAAUAUAUAUUUUCUUUGACAAUUAACAAAAGUGAUUCAUACUUUUUGUGGAAGUCUAUUUUCUUUCCAGCAGCACACGCCCACAUUUCUUUGGUGACUUACAGAGCAGAACAAUAAGCACCGAAUCUGUUUUUCACCAACCAGGAUUCCUCGCCAGGCUUUUCCCAGCAUACUCACGCAGAUGGAAUUUCUGGCUCACGCUUCGUCCUUUUGCUGUUGUUGUUGUGUUUGUUGAGGUUGUUGUUAGGUGUUUUCCUCUGAACUGAAAAAGGGAUAUAUCUAUGCUCUCCCUGAUCUCUCGGGAAGCUGACAAAACAAAGAAGCGUACGUGCCCAGCACACACAGCCCCGCCCAACCCUGUGGUGUAGUUUGUCCUGCCCAAACACAUGAACCACAAAGUGCGCUCAUUCACAAACACACAACUUCCUUUCCUGAACAACAGCGCCUCCCGCUCCCGCUGGAAAGGGUGUCCCCAGCUGUCUGGGAGAUGUCCUGCCCCGCCGCACGGGGGUGGAAUUUGCAGUUUUGCAGAGGAGUCACCAAGACGAGGCAAUUUGCUUGCUCUUGGUAAAGUUGUUUUGUUGUUGUUGCCGUUGAUUCUAUUUCUCUUUCUGGAACUGAAAUGUUGGCCUUUGGAGAAUUCCUGCGCUAUAAGGAGUACACAGACUUGGGAAAACUUAGCACACCAAGAGAAGGAGUGGCACUAUGUGUUUUGCCAAAACCCAUCUGAAAUUUCCUGUUUUCCACGUUUGGGAUGUAACGUUAACUUUUAGGGUCAGAGUUGCUCUCUCCCGGGGAAGUUGCAACUUUUUAUUCCUGACUUCUUCAAGGGCUUGUGAAAGAUCUCCAAUGUGCUUCUACAAAAGAUACAAAUGCCUUUUUAAGAAAACCCUCUGUGAGCUGCACUCAUUGGAUCUGAAACCAGAUGCAUUCAAUUUGCCUUUAAGUCUUCACCAGCUCAUCCUCAAGGUAAACAAAGAAAACUCAAGCAAGUGUACAAAGAAUUUUAUUUUGCCCUUGAAGAUAGUAAAACAACUUCAGACAUUGAAUAGUCUGUGAACAAUCAAAAAAGUUACACUAACAUCUAAUAUUUAAAAUGGCUUCAGUCAGUAAGAACCUAAAUGUCAUAAUUUUCAUUCUAUAUAGACUUUAUUAAUGACUGUUAGAGUAUACAAUGUGUGUGUAUAUUUAUAUACAUACACUGAAUGUUAGAAUAUAUAAUGUGUGUGUGUGUAUAUAUAUAUAUAUACACUGAAUGUUAGAAUAUAUAAUAUACACACACAUUAUAUAUUCUAACAUUCAUUAAUAAAGUCUAUAUCUAUUAAUGGCAUUAUAUAUAUUAAAGACCUAAUAUAUAAUGAUACUUUUAUUGCCAAAAGGGAAAACUGCAAAAAAAUAGAUAUUUUUACAUUUUUAAGAACAAAGUCGAGGUCAGGCACGGUGGCUCACGCCUGUAGCUGGUGGCUCACGGCCUCCAGCACUUUGGGAGGCCGAGGCAGGCAGAUCAUGACGUCAGGAGAUCGAGACCAUCCUGGCUAACACGGUGAAACCCCGUCUUUACUAAAAAUACAAAAAAUUAGCUAAGCAUGGUGGUGGGCGCCUGUAGUCCCAGCUACUCGGAAGGCUGAGGCAGGAGAAUGGCAUAAACACGGGAGGUGGAGCUUGCAGUGAGCUGAGAUCAGGCCACUGCAUUCCAGCCUGGGCAACGGAGCGAGACUCCGUCUCACAAAAAAAAAAAAAAAAAAAAAAAAAAAAAAAAAAGAACAAACUCUAAUGGUUCCGAAAAGAUGAAAAACUCUAUAUUGUUAGUUGUUUCUGAAUAGAGAAGUACAAAUACAAGCAAUGAGAUAAGAUUAGAUUCUGUAGAAACUUCCUGAGAAGCCAGUCUCCAAUCUAUAAUCUCCUUAUUCUUUCCUUCAAAUCUUAAACCAACUGAAUACAGAUUUUAGCUGAAAUAUAGCCAUAUACAUAACACCAUUUACUCUAAAAAUUUCCUCCAUGAAACUUAAAGUUGAAAAUAGAAACACUGCCCACGUUCCCUGAAAAAUCACCCUAUAAUUAUUCCGGAAAAUGCUCAGAUGGGUCCUACGUGGUGUAAAGCAGAGGAAAGCUCUGACCACUUGGUGACCUGGCUGCCUCCGGCAUGUGCCACGUGCAUGAAAACAGGAGGGAGGCACGCACUCUGUGAUGGUGCCAUGGCUGGGGCCUGAGCCGCCCCGUUCCUAUCCUGUCACCCCCAUCUCCCGCGCAGGCUUCUAGCUGUGAGCAGUGGUUCUAGGCACCCCUGUUUAUAUUCACUCAUGUUCCUGCAGGUGAGCUUUCAUUCCUGAAGUUUGUGUAAUGCUGAAGUUACAGUUUUACAAGCAACGUUGAAAACGGCUUCCUGCUGUAACUUUCAGGAAGAGGAAGAGCUGUGUUAAGCCAAACUCUGGAGGCCAGUGACUGCAUGUUUGCUUCCACAGGAGGCUGGUCCGAACUGCAGCUUGUCCUCACAGCCAGGAGAAUGUUUGUCCAGAGAUCACUUUAAAAAAUGCUCAUCAGGUUGACAGUUAUAAGACCAUAAUAUGAGGACUUCACCCUGCUGAUGAGGGAGACUCAGAGAAUGAGAAAAGUACAGCUUUGGUAACUUUUGAAUGAGUUCCAUACUUGUCAUAAACACAGACCAACCCAAGUAAACUCCAGAGUUCAACUGUGACACGCUCUUCAGCCUGCACCAGAAAAGGCAGCGCAGUUAGGCUAAUCCCAGGCUAGCACAGAGAAGUUGGGAAGAGUGUUCAUCUCGCUCAGUCAGAAUUCACACACAGAAAGGGGAGUGGGUGGUUACCAGGCUUAAUAUGUUCAAUAAGGCUUUUUCUCCAGCAAGACGUGGAAAUCCUUUUAUAACCUGUUUUGUUCUUCCUCUAACCACUUACAUUUCUAUGUGUCACCCUUUCCUUCUCGAUAAAAUUUUGAUAAUCAUUUGUCCUAACAAAGCCCAGAGAGGCGUUGAAAGAAGCCCAUGAGAUUAUGGUUAGGAAAGCACUUUUGAAAAUGCUAUGUAAACACAAUGCUGUCACCACCUACUUGCGAAAUUGUGGACAGGAACAACUGCCUUACACACACACACACACCUGUGAAAUACCAGACUGAUUUAAUCCGAAAGGAAGGUUAAUUCCAAACUACUGAUCACUUCUGAUCAUUAAACACAUGCAGAUACGCACAGUUAAAAAGUAGUUUUUAGAAAAGGUAAAAUUAUCAUUCUCAUACACAUAUAAAUAAAUAGAUGUUUAAGAAUAUAUUUAACUCGUAGGAUGUGAGGGAAUUAAACAGAUGUUAUAACCGAUUCAAAGAAAAAAUCAAAAUGACACAUAAAAUAUAUGCAGCAAAGGAACAUUGAGAUCAACUGCAAAUAAGCAUGAAAUUGGACGGAGAGGAGGUCAAUGAAACCACUAUCAGCAAGUACAGAAUUUGCACAUCUGUCCUAUAGUUUGUGUAAGCUGCCUAUAAUUUACAAAGAAUUGCAUAGGAAUGCAAAAUUAAUGCACAGGGUUGAAUUCUGAUAACCCUGAAAGGUGUGCUCUAGAUCAUGCAGUUUUCUAGUGAAACACAAGACUCCUACACACCCAAGCAUACAGACUCUUUAGAUUCAUGAUUGGUCAUGUUUUAUGGGAAGACAGCCACGCUCAUGUCUCAGUGGCUGCUCCAUCUACACAACACCAGUGAGCAGUUACCGUGGAGACCACCCGGCCUCCAGAGCAUUUACUUUUUGGCUCCUUACAGAUAAAGUUUGCCGACCCCUAUUUCUAUCAAUAUAUGGCAUUGCAAACCAUAUUUAGUUAGUUAUGCAUUUAUUUCCUAAUUAAUGAGUGCCCAGUGGGUGCACUGGCAUCUCCCCCUUAAUGGAAUUCUUCUUAGCCAUGGACAUUUGUAAGCUAAGACUUAGGAUCAUCACUAAACAUAAAACGAUACACAAACCAAGUGGCUACCAACUUUUUAAAUUAUUAUUUUGAGUUUUGUUAAAUGUCUUAUUUUUAAUACACUAGCAAACAAAGAUAGUGCUGUCUGAACAAUGAAGAUGCCCAUCCAACUGUCUAAUCUAGACCCUGAAUACUGAAAAGGCUCUCUCCCUGACCUGACCUUGGUCAACCUCCCCUAAGCUGUCUUUCAAGGCCUGUCCUUGGGCCUAUUUCUUAAGAACAAGAAUCUUGUUCAAGUCAGUUCAAUGAGAGUCCCCUACCCUUGAUUCCAAUCACUCUUCGUAGCUGAUCACAACCCUCACUCCUCAGCAUCCCUCAGUUGACAUCUGCCCACAUUGAACUGCCUUCAACAAGACUCCUGUCCAGCCCAUUUAUCCAGAAUUUUUUCCCCCGAUGUUCCCUCUUAGUAAUUUUCCAUUCACUGACCCCCGACCCUGCUCCAAGGCUGUAAAUUCUCACUUUUCAUUUUUGUAUUUGAAGUUGAACCCAAUGUGUCUUUCCUAGUCAUUGCAGUAGUCCCGUUGAAUAAGAUCUUCCAUGCCAUCUUAAGGGUCAGCAGAACCUUUUCUUUAACAGUAGGCAUAUCUAGGCAAGUCAUCAAUCUUAGGAUGGCAUAACUUAUAUAUCCCCAAGCAUAUGGAAGGUAUGUGAGUAACUUAGCAUUUCUGUUCCCUUUACCCUCUUGUAUUUUUUAUUUUAAUUUACUUUACAUUCUGCUAUAAAAAAAACAAGGAUUCUGAAAUCUCUAAUAAAACACAUUAUCUAGAUUAUGAAGGACUAAAUGAAGAUGCUGGGUGGCUGGGAGACUGGGCCCCAUACCUCCAGGAUCACUCCUAACCAGUGCAUCUUAUAUAUAUAAGUUACAGCAGGCGGGUUCCUACAAUGAGCAGACCCAAAAAUGCAUGGUAGCUUAAACACAAAAAAGUAACAUAACAGAAUUAUGUAAGUGAAUAAAUUACUGAAUGAUCAACAUCUACACAAAGACCCUGCAAUCUUCCCCAUUUACCUUCUAAGUUCACCCUAUAAUCAUCUAAAGAAUAUGGAGAAGAGGUUCAUGGAAAGUCCUGCUGGAUCCAGUUUGGAAGUAACUCACUUCCCUUCUGCUUUCAUUCAUUACCAAAACUUGCUGGUGUGGAUGCUUCUGACAGCAAGGCAGGCUGGAAAAUGUAGUCUCUACCUGCAGCAAUUUCCUAAUAUGGGAAGCAUAAUAUAGGCAAGUCCUCCUGGCCUCUAGACUCAGUAUUAACUUAUUGAUUAAAGCUUGAGAUUUCUGCAACAACACAAACUCUCUUAUUCUAUAAACUAGCCAUGCUGAUUUUAAAAUACAAACAUGCCUAAAGACAGAAAUAAUGAUAGGAAAGUCAUCCUCAUUAUGGUGCAAGUAGCUUAUUGUAGCUACAUAUUGUGAUGUGGUACGGUGUUGGGAGACCAUUGUUCAUGGGUCUCUUGGGUUUCCUAUUGUACCUACAGGUUGUGAUGUGGUAUGGUGUCUCCUGGGUUUCUUAUUGUACCUACAAGUUGCGAUGUGCUACGGUGUUGGGAGACCAUUGUUCGUGGUCUCUUGGGUUUCUUAUUGUACCUACAAGUUGUGAUGUGAUAUGGUGUUGUGAGACCAUUGUUCAUGGGUCUCUUGGGUUUCUUAUUGUAGCUAUAAGUUACGAUGUGGUACAGUGUUGGGAGACCAUUGUUCAUGGGCCUCUUGGGUUUCCUAUUGUACCUACAGGUUGUGAUGUGGUACAGUGUUGGGAGACCAUUGUUCAUGGGCCUCUUGGGUUUCCUAUUGUACCUACAGGUUGUGAUGUGGUACAGUGGAGCCCAUUGUCCAUGGGUCUCUUGGGUUUCUGCCUGUCCUGUGAGCAGAGGCACAGGUUACCUUUGCUUUGGACAAUCUUCUCAAGGAAGUUUGUAGAGUGAACAACUUGGGUGACAAUGAUCAUGUCUCCUUCAGAGAAAAGGACCAAUCCACUUGCAGCCUGGGAAUAUGGAUCCUGCCUCCCCCUAGAGGAUCAUGCCAUAAAAGAUCUGGGACCCAUCAUCUUUGGUUUCCACCCUUGUGAUGUAGCCCAGUGUGUAUGCAAGUAUCACUUGGCUCUUUGUGCUGCCUUGUGGGAACUGAGUUUUGGGAACCAGCAUAAUAGAAAUGAUAUCUAGACAACUGUAAUUGCUGUGAUAAUAAAUUGUCCUUUACCUGCAACCUGGGAACCUCACAUCCUCUACCAGAAACCAUGAAAUGGCAUCAGGCUAACCAAGUUAGUGUACAAGUGGGGCAAAGUCUCAGCUCCUUCACAGAUCUUGACAAGAAUUAAUGUCAUAUAAUUAAAAAAAAAAACAGAGGAGGUAUGUGCUUUCAUCUUCACCUAGAGCCAGACUUGUCAUGCACCAUCUGUAGAAUAAAGGUACCGAUGCCUCAAGUCUUGUUUAAGACCCUAGAUCCAUAAGCUCAUAGAAGCAAAAGAUGUUGCAAGCAUGUUUCUUGCUAUAUAUUCUUGCUUUGGAGGCAGCUAAUUGUAGAAUACUCAUUUAGACAAAUUCUAUUAUUUUCAUCUUUAUAUUCCUUUAUUAUACUGUUUAUGUGUAUUAGCUAUACAUAUUAGUCCAGAUGAUUCUUUAGAAGUUAAUGACACUGUCCUAACCAUGAUGCAUCUUAAUAGGCAUAUUUAAGAAUAUAUAAAAAUACAUAAGACCCCCUCACUCCAGAAAGAAGCAAAUAACAAACCAAAAUAUAUCAUCACACACCAUGAAUGUUCAGCCUUCUCUGAGGUGUGGGAACAAGAUUUUAAACCAGGUUCUACAUCCUGAUUGUAUCAGAUGUUGAUGAGAUUACAUCACAACAAGGAUCUUGCUAUGAAUUUUUAAGGUGAAAAUAUAUAACCUUAGAGUUGAAAAAAAUCAAAAAGCUAAUGUUGCCAUUUUGGGUACAACAAAGAGUAUCUCAACAAGGUGACUUUAUGAAAACUCAUGGGCUUCUAGUGAUGAAAUCAGUUGGUUUAGAGUAAUAAAAGUAAAUAAUGGUUUCUGCGUGUCUUGAGGAUUCAGUUAGUUAAAUGGAAUCCCUGCUGGGCUGGCUUCCCUGAGAAUCUACUUGGUACAUGUAAAGACGAGAAAGGUCAUUUUUCCAUAAGCAAUUUCAUUGUUUGGACUUUAAUCUGAAGCAAAUUAUCCUUCUUCAAUAAAAGUGAAGUGGUGUAAUCAUGCACGGUACUUUCAAAUUCAGAAAUGUAAUAUUAUGCCAGAAUAUUAAAAUCACAUUCAACUCAUGUCUCUGGGUAUAUUUGAUCAUAAUAGGGCCCUUUCCAGUUUAUGUAAUCACUGGAUACAACAACAGUUAACUUAUCAUCAGCUAAGUAAGCAGAGCCAGGGCCUGAGUGUUUGUGAAUCUGAAGCUAUUACCUGUGAAUAACCAAGACGUCAUCAUAUACCUCCCUUUCAGUGAACAUUUCUUUAUUCUCUCCGGAAAUAAUGAGUAUGUGCUACAACAGAUUUCUAUCAAUGUCCAAUAGAAUGGGAAAUUAGAACCGGAAGAGCAUUGUUGAAGUUUUCUAAGUCUCCUGCCUAAUUUUUAUGAAACCUAAUGCAGUAUCUCCACUUGAUCAGAUAGUCUAUCACCAUGAAGUAGAAGAUACUCAACACCUCUGUGAAAUAAAUACUACAAUCACCCCAUGUGAUGAAGGGCAACUGGGAAACCGAAGGAUUUUUGAAUGUCAGAAAUGAGGUACACAUCCAAGUGUUUCUGACUCCUGGGUCAAGCUGGGAUCAGGGCAGGGAAGAGGAGG
rnacentral:lncRNA from 1 species